UAGAACGAAAAUUUGGCCAAUCACAAAC
rnacentral:sRNA from 1 species